AGCAGCCGCGGUAAUUCCAGCUCCAAUAGCGUAUAUUAAAGUUGCUGCAGUUAAAAAGCUCGUAGUUGAAUUUCGGGACCAAUAUGUUGGUCGUGCCUCGGUACGUACUGGCGUCAUUGGUUUCUACCUUCUGAAGAACCUCGAUGUCAUUAAUUUGGUGUCUUGGGGAAUCAGGACUGUUACUUUGAAAAAAUUAGAGUGUUUAAAGCAGGCUCACGCUUGAAUACAUUAGCAUGGAAUAAUGAAAUAGGACGUUUGAUUCUAUUUUGUUGGUCUCUAGGAUCGACGUAAUGAUUAAUAGGGAUAGUUGGGGGCAUUAGUAUUCAAUUGUCAGAGGUGAAAUUCUUGGAUUUAUUGAAGACUAACUACUGCGAAAGCAUUUGCCAAGGAUGUUUUCAUUAAUCAAGAACGAAAGUUAGGGGAUCGAAGACGAUCAGAUACCGUCGUAGUCUUAACCAUAAACUAUGCCGACUAGGGAUCGGAUGAUGU
rnacentral:rRNA from 1 species